rnacentral:rRNA from 1 species
GAGUUCAAACCGGUGUAAGCCAGGUUGGUUUCUAUCUUUUAUAAAAGAAAAUAUUUUAGUACGAAAGGAUCAAAUAUUUAAAUUAAAUUUAUAAUAAAGAAUAUUAUUAAUAAUAAUUAUAUUUGUUAUUUAAUAUAAAUAUAUAGAUAUAUAUAUAUAUAUAUAUGUGUAAG